rnacentral:rRNA from 1 species
GACGUAGGGCGCGAGCGUUGUCCGGAUUUACUGGGUUUAAAGGGUGCGUAGGUGGGUUGGUAAGUCAGUGGUGAAAUCUUCGAGCUUAACUCGGAAACUGCCAUUGAUACUAUCAAUCUUGAAUUAUCUGGAGGUAAGCGGAAUAUGUCAUGUAGCGGUGAAAUGCUUAGAUAUGACAUAGAACACCCAUUGCGAAGGCAGCUUACUACGGAUAUAUUGACACUGAGGCACGAAAGCGUGGGGAUCAAACAGG